UUCUUUCUAGGUGUCUACUAUGUAUAGUAUCUGUUCUUAUCAGUUUAAUAUCUGAUACAUCCUCAGUGAGAGAACUUUAUAUGAAAUGGAUUUUUGGGUGGAGAGGAUGUCAU
rnacentral:snRNA from 1 species